rnacentral:rRNA from 1 species
AUGAACGCUGGCGGCGUGCCUAAUACAUGCAAGUCGCGCGAACAGACGAGGAGCUUGCUCCUCUGACGUUAGCGGCGGACGGGUGAGUAACACGUGGAUAACCUACCUAUAAGACUGGGAUAACUUCGGGAAACCGGAGCUAAUACCGGAUAAUAUAUUGAACCGCAUGGUUCAAUAGUGAAAGACGGUUUUGCUGUCACUUAUAGAUGGAUCCGCGCCGCAUUAGCUAGUUGGUAAGGUAACGGCUUACCAAGGCAACGAUGCGUAGCCGACCUGAGAGGGUGAUCGGCCACACUGGAACUGUGACACGGUCCAGACUCCUACGGGAGGCAGCAGUAGGGAAUCUUCCGCAAUGGGCGAAAGCCUGACGGAGCAACGCCGCGUGAGUGAUGAAGGUCUUCGGAUCGUAAAACUCUGUUAUUAGGGAAGAACAAAUGUGUAAGUAACUAUGCACGUCUUGACGGUACCUAAUCAGAAAGCCACGGCUAACUACGUG